rnacentral:sRNA from 1 species
GCUGGGUGCAGUGAUGCAUGCCUGUAAUCCCAAUCACUGGGAGGCUGAAGCAGGGGGAUCCCAAAUUUGAGACCAGCCUGGGCAACUUAGCGAGACCCUGUCUCAA